rnacentral:rRNA from 1 species
GCCCGCUCAGAAACUUAAAUAGAAUUGACGGGGGCCCGCACAAGCGGUGGAGCAUGUGGUUUAAUUCGAUGAUACGCGAGGAACCUUACCUGGGCUCAAAUGUAUGUUGACGUAUUCUGAAAGGGAUACUUCUUCGGACAAUAUACAAGGUGCUGCAUGGUUGUCGUCAGCUCGUGCCGUGAGGUGUCGGGUUAAGUCCCAUAACGAGCGCAACCCCUAUCAUUAGUUGCCAUCAGGUCAAGCUGGGGACUCUAAUGAAACUGCCUACGCAAGUAGUGAGGAAGGCGGGGAUGACGUCAAAUCAGCACGGCCCUUACGUCCAGGGCUACACACGUGCUACAAUGGCCGAUACAGAGGGCAGCUACCUGGUGACAGGAUGCAAAUCUCCAAAGUCGGUCUCAGUUCGGAUCGGAGUCUGCAACCCGACUCCGUGAAGUUGGAUUCGCUAGUAAUCGCGCAUCAGCCAUGGCGCGGUGAAUACGUUCCCGGGCCUU